rnacentral:lncRNA from 1 species
GUCCAGUCCAGUCCAGUCAAGGCGUCCCUUGGGUUUUGGCCAUGUCCUCUCCGAUCAACCAGCUGCUUCUUGCCUAGAACACUGUGAGUUGGUUUGUUUAAGUUCCACUUGGAACUUAGGAUAGAUCGAGUUGCAUAUAGAGUAGUAAUAUCACACUGAUGCAUGAUAGAGUCCUAGGGUUAUUUUUAUUUAUGAAUUGGACUCAGUUUAGCAUUGGCUAAGCUGAGAUAUAAUGGAAUUAAGACUGAGUUAUAACCUGACUAGGACUAGGAUGAAUGAUGCAUUAACCGGUAUAGUAUGAUAAAUUAUGGCGUAGCUGAAUUGUUAGGAUUGAGAUGCCUGUUUUCCUUUAUUUAUUUAUGGGUAGUUUAGUAAUGGAGUAGACCUGCCUUAGAGAUAUUAGGACUAUUGAAUGCUUGGUUUGGUAGUGAUUGUUGUUGUGCAGGGAUGGUAUUGUUCAGGAGAUCUUAGGCCAUAUAGGCCGAUUUCCUUCCGUGUCGAGUUUAGUACUACGAGUCCUAUGCCAUAUAGGCUGGACUACGAGUACUGGUGUUAGUAUCGUAGACUCCUUAGUGUAUUUAAGUUUGUGGUAGGAGUCUUGGUCUUAUUAGGAUUAGUGUGUUGUAGCCGAUAGUAUGAGCGUAACCCAUCCAUACUAGGCUUGUUUAGGGGCGAUUAGUGUUUCCUCGGCCUCGUACCCAGCGGGUUUAAGGAAACCCCUUAUUCGUUGGAUCGGGAAGACUCAGAGAGACGGGAUCAUGGCCUAGGGCUGAGUUAUUACACGACGGUGUAAUGUGGCAGUGACCCGAAGAACUGUGGGCUGUCGCGCGGUGACCCGAAGGACUGUGGGCCGCGG